UACAGAGGUCUCAAGCGAUUGUUCGGAUUCAUUGGGCGUAAAGGGUGCGUAGGCGGCGCGGUAAGUCGGGUGUGAAAUCUCGGGGCUUAACUCCGAAACUGCAUUCGAUACUGCCGUGCUUGAGGACUGGAGAGGAGACUGGAAUUUACGGUGUAGCGGUGAAAUGCGUAGAUAUCGUAAGGAAGACCAGUGGCGAAGGCGGGUCUCUGGACAGUUCCUGACGCUGAGGCACGAAGGCCAGGGAGCAAACGGG
rnacentral:rRNA from 1 species